AGAGUUUGAUCCUGGCUCAGAACGAACGCUGGCGGCGUGCCUAACACAUGCAAGUCGAACGGAGAUAAGGGGCUUGCUCCUUAUCUUAGUGGCGCACGGGUGAGUAACGCGUGGAUAAUCUGCCUUGGAAUCUGGGAUAACAUCUCGAAAGGGGUGCUAAUACCGGAUAAGACCACGAGCUCUUCGGAGUUUGCGGUAAAAGGGGGCCUCUGAAUAUGCUUCUGUUUCAAGAUGAGUCCGCGUACCAUUAGCUAGUUGGCAGGGUAAUGGCCUACCAAGGCGACGAUGGUUAGCUGGUCUGAGAGGAUGAUCAGCCACACUGGAACUGAGACACGGUCCAGACUCCUACGGGAGGCAGCAGUGGGGAAUUUUGCGCAAUGGGGGAAACCCUGACGCAGCAACGCCGCGUGAGUGAUGAAGGCCUUCGGGUCGUAAAGCUCUGUCAGAGGGAAAGAAGUGUGGGAGGGUUAAUACCCCUUUCACUUGACGGUACCCUCAAAGGAAGCACCGGCUAACUCCGUGCCAGCAGCCGCGGUAAUACGGAGGGUGCAAGCGUUGUUCGGAAUUAUUGGGCGUAAAGCGCGUGUAGGCGGUUUUUUAAGUCUGAUGUGAAAGCCCCGGGCUCAACCUGGGAAGUGCAUUGGAUACUGGAAGACUUGAGUACGGGAGAGGGUAGUGGAAUUCCUAGUGUAGGAGUGAAAUCCGUAGAUAUUAGGAGGAACACCGGUGGCGAAGGCGGCUGCCUGGACCGAUACUGACGCUGAGACGCGAAAGCGUGGGGAGCAAACAGGAUUAGAUAC
rnacentral:rRNA from 1 species